UCCCUGGAGGACUAGUGCUUAGGCCUCAGUGCUCUCACUGCUGCAGCCCGGGUUCGAAUCCUGGCCAGGGAA
rnacentral:tRNA from 1 species